UACGUAGGGGGCAAGCGUUGUCCGGAAUCAUUGGGCGUAAAGAGCGUGUAGGCGGCCCGGUAAGUCCGCUGUGAAAGUCCAGGGCUCAACCCUGGGAUGCCGGUGGAUACUGUCGGGCUCGAGUCCGGAAGAGGAGAGUGGAAUUCCCGGUGUAGCGGUGAAAUGCGCAGAUAUCGGGAAGAACACCUAUGGCGAAGGCAGCUCUCUGGGACGGUACUGACGCUGAGACGCGAAAGCGUGGGGAGCGAACAGG
rnacentral:rRNA from 1 species